GGCCACCCCUGGUUCAUGGUCCACAACCUAGGGCCGAGGUUCCCCGACGCCGCCCACCUCGCUUGGAAAGCCUCCGCCGCCGCUCGUUCUCAUCGGAAGGCCGCCGCUCAUCCCUACGCGAGGCGGCGCCACCCAUCCCUACACGAGGUGGCUGCCGCUGCUGGCAUACCUCAUCGCCUGGAAACCACCGCCGCCCACAUCCUCACCUGGACGGCCGCCUCGCCUCCUAGUUCAUCGCCUAGGGCCGCUGUCGCACCCGCUCCUCCCCCCCCCCCCCAACCUGGUUGCCGCCGCUGCCGUCCCCCUCUUGCUGCCUUGGUGACUGGGAUCCUAGCCGAGGUUGGGAAAUGGGUAUGAAUGAUCGGUUCAGUGAUUUGUUAUGGAUGCCUCACAGCCAGCACAAAGUAUCAAAAAUUCAGAAAACCCCAGUAACUUUAUGAAUAUCCGACAUCAUCAUGUUGGCAUUCCUUAUCACCCACUAUGCCGGUCAGGUCUUGAGAAUCUUGGGUUCUAUCAAAUAGCAAGAAUGAAGAAAAUAAAUGUUGAUAAAUAUUUGAUAUCGGCAUUGGUGGAGCGUUGGUGGCCUGAGACAAAUAGUUUUCACCUAGCAGUAGUUGAGAUGACAGUAAUGCUGCAAGAUGUGAGUUGCUUAUGGGGUUUGCCGAUCCAUGAUGAACCGCUUAUCGACCAAUCUGAUAAGAAAUGGGCUGAAUCAAUUGAGAGGUUUCUUGGAAUUCCAAUGGACGAACAGCAUAUGAAGAAGAAGAAGAAAAGAAAAAAAGAGGAUGACGGGGAUGUCGUGAUCUACUCACAAUACUCUAUUAGUUUGAGCAAACUGCGUGAUCGUUUUUGUGAGAUGCCACAGGAACCAAUACAAUGAGAGGUUCAUUGGCAUACUCGAGCAGUAGUUUUAGAGAUUAUUGGUUCCAUAGCUUUUACUGACACAUCUGGAGAUGGAGUGCCAGCAGUGUAUCUCCAAUUCAUGGAAAAUUUAGGGCAGCCAACUGCAUACAAUUGGGGAGCAGUUGUACUUGCCAUGAGGUAUAGGUAAUUGAGCAUGGGUGCUGAGAGGGCGAGAUCAGAAAUAACUGGUCCUUUAUUGCUACUACAACUGUGGUCUUGGUCACGUUUGCCACUUGGUCGUCCGGUAAAUAUAGUCGAGAAGACUAAUGAAAGCAAGGAGGAACAAGAAGAACAUGACGAUUGAUGAGGUAGUGAAUAUUAUCUAAAGCAAAUUGAUUUGAUUCGAGAAGGCACAGUGAACUGGCAGCCAUAUGAUGAUCUUAUGGAGCAAAUGCCUACCCAAGUUCAUAAUUAUCGUGCUUGGUGGUUUGCUAGAGUACCGCUCUUCCAUUUCUGGAUUGUUGAGUUCUACUAUCCUGACGUAAUGCGUCAAUUUAGGCUACCACAGACCAUUCCACCUUGUCUACCACACAGCGAGGACGAGUUCUCAAACUACACAAAAUAAAGCACACAGGUGGGAAAUCCGUAACUGGGAGAGAGUGCAUGCCAAGUACAUACAACAAUACAAUGAUGCCGAAGCUACAACAGUUCAAGAGGAUCUCCCUUUUGAUCAAACUAGUUUGGCGGAGUAUAGACAAUGGUUCCAGCAAAAUGGUAUGUACACUGUGUUCUUCGACUCGCAGUGCUUGGGAGGCCUUGAGAACCCCAUCCCAUAUCCCCAAGACAAUAUGGAAUGGACUGGCUACAUGCCUAGUGGUCGACCACUAGCCCAUAUUGGUCUACGUGACAUUAAAAAUGCAGCAUGGGGAAUCAAAUAUGUUGUUACUAGUGGAUACAAGAAGUUUGGCAGAUAUAUACUAAAUGCAUCUGUAGGAAAUCUGAGGGAUCUUAACCUAGAGCCUCAGCUGCAUAAUAUGCUCCGUGAGGCUGGACUGCCUACCCAGGUUGAAGGUAUUUCAUCAGAUGAUUGAAGUUUCUUGCAUCGCUCACCCACCAAGCCCUCCUAGAGAUUCCAGCUUAGAAUUGAUAGAUGAUUGGAUCAACACGGGAAGAGGUUUUACCAGAUACCUCGAUGGUACUGCAGCUACUGGGAGCGAAGCACCAACAACGCAAGAUGCAAGUCAAGUGACGCAAGGGACCAUCAAUGAGGAGCCAGUAGUACUUUCAAAUGAUGUGUUAUGACCUAGUGACAAGGCUGCUGUCUAGGCUAAUACACUUUUAGGACUCGUGGUUUAUAGAGCUUUUGAAACCUGAGCGAAAUUUUUUGUUUAUAAACCAUCGUAAACUCUGGUUACUGGCAGCAUACUAGCUAGCUCUGUCACGUGCUGGUCUGGUGUAACGUGUGUGAUCGGAUGCUGCUGGCUUGCGUUUCUUAUGUUAUAACUGGUAGUUGCGCUCUGAAUUUCUGGCGCAUGGUUUGCUUAAUUAAUUCAUUGUACUAUAAGUGAACAAGCAAGAUGCUUAUAUAUUAUGUUCAGAACUAGUCCAUCUUGGCUUAUUCAAUAGAGUGAGAUACACGAUCUGAG